UACAGAGGUCUCAAGCGUUGUUCGGAUUCAUUGGGCGUAAAGGGUGCGUAGGCGGCGCGGUAAGUCUGGGGUGAAAUCUCGGGGCUUAACUCCGAAACUGCAUUCGAUACUGCCGUGCUUGAGGACUGGAGAGGAGACUGGAAUUUACGGUGUAGCGGUGAAAUGCGUAGAUAUCGUAAGGAAGACCAGUGGCGAAGGCGGGUCUCUGGACAGUUCCUGACGCUGAGGCACGAAGGUCAGGGGAGCAAACGGG
rnacentral:rRNA from 1 species